AGGGGCGUAGUUUAAUUGGUAGAACGAUGGAUUCCAAAUCCAUUGGUGCGGGUUCGAGUCCUGCCGCCUUUGCCA
rnacentral:tRNA from 1 species